ACGGCUCAGUAACACGUGGACAAUCUGCCCUGAAGAAGAGAAUAAUCCCGGGAAACUGGGGGUAAUGCUCUAUAGUCCGGGAGGACUGGAAUGUUCUCCGGAUGAAAGAUCCGUCGCUUCAGGAUGAGUCUGCGGCCGAUUAGGUAGUUGUUGGGGUAAAAGCCCAACAAGCCUGUAAUCGGUACGGGUUGUGGGAGCAAGAGCCCGGAGAUGGAUUCUGAGACACGAAUCCAGGCCCUACGGGGCGCAGCAGGCGCGAAAACUUUACAAUGCGGGCAACCGUGAUAAGGAAACCCCGAGUGCCACCACAGGGUGGCUGUCCACCAGUGUAAACAACUGGUGAAGAAAGGGCCGGGCAAGACCGGUGCCAGCCGCCGCGGUAAUACCGGCGGCUCGAGUGGUGGCCGCUUUUACUGGGCUUAAAGGGUCCGUAGCUGGAUCCACAAGUCCCUUGAGAAAUCCAUCGGCUUAACUGCUGGGCGUUCAGGGGAUACUGUGGUUCUAGGGACCGGGAGAGGUGAGAGGUACUGCCGGGGUAGGAGUGAAAUCCUGUAAUCCCGGUGGGACGACCUAUGGCGAAGGCAUCUCACCAGAACGGCUCCGACAGUGAGGGACGAAAGCUGGGGGAGCAAACCGGAUUAGAUACCCGGGUAGUCCCAGCUGUAAACGAUGCGCGUUAGGUGUGUCAGUGAUCACGUGUCACUGAGAUGCCGAANGGAAACCGUGAAACGCGCCGCCUGGGGAGUACGGUCGCAAGGCUGAAACUUAAAGGAAUUGGCGGGGGAGCAC
rnacentral:rRNA from 1 species